rnacentral:rRNA from 1 species
UCAUGCUCAGGACGAACGCUGGCGGCGUGCCUAAUACAUGCAAGUCGAGCGGACCUUUCAAAAGCUUGCUUUUGGAAGGUCAGCGGCGGACGGGUGAGUAACACGUGGGCAACCUGCCUGUGAGACUGGGAUAACUUCGGGAAACCGGAGCUAAUACCGGAUAAUAUAAGGAACCUCCUGGUUCUUUAUUGAAAGAUGGUUUCGGCUAUCACUCACAGAUGGGCCCGCGGCGCAUUAGCUAGUUGGUGAGGUAACGGCUCACCAAGGCGACGAUGCGUAGCCGACCUGAGAGGGUGAUCGGCCACACUGGGACUGAGACACGGCCCAGACUCCUACGGGAGGCAGCAGUAGGGAAUCUUCCACAAUGGACGAAAGUCUGAUGGAGCAACGCCGCGUGAGCGAUGAAGGCCUUCGGGUCGUAAAGCUCUGUUGUUAGGGAAGAACAAGUGCGAGAGUAACUGCUCGCACCUUGACGGUACCUAACCAGAAAGCCACGGCUAACUACGUGCCAGCAGCCGCGGUAAUACGUAGGUGGCAAGCGUUGUCCGGAAUUAUUGGGCGUAAAGCGCGCGCAGGUGGUCCUUUAAGUCUGAUGUGAAAGCCCACGGCUCAACCGUGGAGGGUCAUUGGAAACUGGGGGACUUGAGUGCAGAAGAGGAAAGUGGAAUUCCAAGUGUAGCGGUGAAAUGCGUAGAGAUUUGGAGGAACACCAGUGGCGAAGGCGACUUUCUGGUCUGUAACUGACACUGAGGCGCGAAAGCGUGGGGAGCAAACAGGAUUAGAUACCCUGGUAGUCCACGCCGUAAACGAUGAGUGCUAAGUGUUAGAGGGUUUCCGCCCUUUAGUGCUGCAGCUAACGCAUUAAGCACUCCGCCU